UUAAAUUGAAGAGUUUGAUCAUGGCUCAGAUUGAACGCUGGCGGCAGGCCUAACACAUGCAAGUCGAACGGUAACAGGAAGAAGCUUGCUUCUUUGCUGACGAGU
rnacentral:rRNA from 1 species